UACGUAGGGCGCAAGCGUUGUCCGGAAUUAUUGGGCGUAAAGCGCUCGCAGGUGGUUCGUCGCGUCGUGCGUGAAAGACCCCGGCUCAACUGGGGGAGGUCGUGCGAUACGGGCGAACUGGAGGCCAGUAGGGGGAUGCGGAAUUCCGGGUGUAGUGGUGGAAUGCGUAGAGAUCCGGAGGAACACCAGCGGCGAAGGCGGCAUCCUGGACUGGUCCUGACACUCAUGAGCGAAAGCGUGGGGAGCGAUCCGG
rnacentral:rRNA from 1 species